rnacentral:rRNA from 1 species
GCAGAACGCGAAGAACCUUACCAGCUUUUGACAUGUCCGGUUUGAUCGGCAGAGAUGCCUUUCUUCAGUUCGGCUGGCCGGAACACAGGUGCUGCAUGGCGGUCGUCAGCUCGUGUCGUGAGAUGUUGGGUUAAGUCCCGCAACGAGCGCAACCCUCGCCCCUAGUUGCCAUCAUUCAGUUGGGAACUCUAGGGGGACUGCCGGUGAUAAGCCGCGAGGAAGGUGGGGAUGACGUCAAGUCCUCAUGGCCCUUACAGGCUGGGCUACACACGUGCUACAAUGGCGGUGACAAUGGGCAGCGAAAGGGCGACCUCGAGCUAAUCCCAAAAAGCCGUCUCAGUUCAGAUUGCACUCUGCAACUCGAGUGCAUGAAGGUGGAAUCGCUAGUAAUCGUGGAUCAGCAUGCCACGGUGAAUACGUUCCCGGGUCUUGUACACACCG